rnacentral:rRNA from 1 species
CCUACGGGUGGCAGCAGUGGGGGAUAUUGCACAAUGGGGGGAACCCUGAUGCAGCGACGCCGCGUGAGCGAUGGAGUACUUCGGUAUGUAAAGCUCUGUCAGCAGGGAAGAAAAUGACGGUACCUGACCAAGAAGCCCCGGCUAAAUACGUGCCAGCAUCCGCGGUAAUCCGUAGGGGGCAAGCGUUAUCCGGAUUUACUGGGGGUAAAGGGAGCGUAGGCGGGAGGGCAAGCCUGAUGUGAAAGACCGGGGGUCAACCCUGGGACUGCAUUGGUAACUGCCCUGCUGGAGUGCGGGAGGGGCAGGCGGAAUGCGUAGUGUAGCGGUGAAAUGCGUAGAUAUUAGGAGGAACACCAGUGGCGAAGGCGGCAUGCUGGACGGUGACUGACGCUGAGGCUCGAAAGCGUGGGGAGCAAACAGGAUUAGAUACCCUAGUAGUC